UACAGAGGUGGCAAGCGUUGUUCGGAAUUACUGGGCGUAAAGGGCGCGUAGGCGGCCUUCUAAGUCAGACGUGAAAUCCCCCCGGCUUAACCUGGGAACUGCGUCUGAUACUGGGAGGCUUGAGUAUGGGAGAGGGAUGUAGAAUUCCAGGUGUAGCGGUGAAAUGCGUAGAUAUCUGGAGGAAUACCGGUGGCGAAGGCGGGUCUCUGGGCAAUAACUGACGCUGAGGAGCGAAAGCGUGGGGAGCGAACAGG
rnacentral:rRNA from 1 species